UGGCAGGAAGCAGCGUUCCAUCUGAAAACAUCCCCAUCACCCUGCUUCCCUCCCCCAGUGGGGGCAGGAGCUGACUCACUCGCUGGGCUCUACUGGGCUCCUUCGGUCCUGAUGGGGCUGUGUGCAUAGGAAUGUGCAUGCGCACCCACACCUCCAAAACACAACCCCAUGCGGUCUCCACGAUGCACCAUCCCUGAAGGGGGUGUAUCUCCCAUGCCUGGAGCUGGGACCAAAGCCGUUCUCCAAAGGCUUGUUAAUUCUUAGACAGUCGGGUGUGAAUAUCGUUCUGACGUUUAUAGCGCAGUCUUCUCCACACUGCUGUCUCUCCCACGCAGAGCCACGCACCUGCCGGAGAGAAGGCAAGCAUCCCACAGCAGAUGUUUUGGGCCCUGGGAAUGCUUAAAUAUGUACUCUAUCAAAGGCGCUGUUACCCAAACACAGGACCCGAGGAGGGGGAGAUGAAGGGAGGGGCACUCUGGCAUCCCCAAGCCUUCUUUUGGAGACGAGCAUGGAUGGCCAGAUAAAUCUCAGCCUUGGAUGAAAACAAAAGGCUAGUUUAGGAAAGAUGUUAGAAUUUAUAUUAAACACACACACACACAGUGCAACACGUGGCUAUGGAGUCAGAGAAACCUAAUUUGGCUCUCAAAUCUCCCAUCUCUAGCUGGGUGACCUUGGGUUGGUUGCUUAGCCUCUCUGAACCUCCUCACUCUGUAAAAUGGGGAUCUCAGAGGUAACUGCUUAGGGUUGUGGUCAGGUUAGAUUAGUGAUUCAUAAACCAGACCAGUGUUGGAUAUUAUUUUCUUUAAUUGGGCUUCUAAGUCAAGGUGGCUUGUCAGGCAACUCUAUCCUGAUACUAGAAAUAAUUCAAUUUCUAGCUGCCCUUGAUCUCAGCUUCCAGCUUCCAAUUCUGGCAUACCUAAAAGUUGGGUCCACAGGUCGUCUAUCCUGUAGGUCCAACCUCUUCCCAUUUGCUAGGUAUCUCUGGGUUUGAAGGGGAAAUGUAUGAUGUUCAGUGCUUUUCUGGUCGCAAGUGGCAAAAAACAGGAACUUCUGGUUUGUAUAACUAGAAAGUUCAUGGGUAUGUCUGACUGCCAAGGAGGUUAGGCAGAGGGGCACAAAUGUCACCUGGAGCCGGUUUUACUCCAUCUCCCCACUUUCUCCAAGUUAUCUCCGUUCUCAGACCUGCUUUCCCUCAUCAUCACAAGAUGGCUGCCAGCAGCAUUGGGUCCACACCCAGCGGAGGAAAGGGAAGUCUCUGUCAUGGCAUCCUCAGCAAAUCUUGAGGCUUAUGCUGACCAAGCAGGCUGAAGUGACCUUAAACCAGGACUGGUGGCCUGAGAAGGUACCUCACUCAUUGGCUGGGACUUGGGUCACGUGCCGACCCUGGGUGGGAGGCCUCACCUCUCCAAACAAAACUCAGGCUUCUUGCUGGAAGAAGAGGCUGGAAUGCUGGCAGGACCUAUUGCUGCCAUCACCUAUGUGGAUCACCUUCAGGCUGAGAUCCAGGGGACCCAGCCUGUAGCCUUCCCUGUGGUGCCCUCCUCUGACCACUGGCGUGUGUUACAGUAAGUGCUGGAAAGAUGGAACUCCUGCCUGCUCAGGUGUUGUGAGCAUUCAGUGAGCUGAGUUCAUCAUGAAGAGGCAAUGCUUUAUGCCACCAAACCCAUUUCUACAUCCUGAAUGCAAGAGGAGAUUGCAUGUUCCCCCACCUCCCUGCAGGUAGGUGGGGCCACAGGAUUGAUUUCUGGCCCCUGGACCGGGGUGAAGGGGUGGGGGGGAAUGGUAGGCCUACUCAGGUCCAGGCCUUGUCCUCUCUUUUCCCCAUAUGUCAUGUGGAAACAGAGGGCUCCCAAGUGGUGGAGCCCCAAUUCCUCAGUCCCUGUGUGGAGGAGGGCCCCAGAGAUCACCAGCCUUAAAUUUUGUGAUGGCAACAAGUAAACCACAGGUGCGUUGGGUCAUUGGUUCCCAAGGAGGGUGGGGGUGUUUGGUGAUAUCUUAAGAUGUUAGAUUUUCAUGACGUGGGGUGGGGUGGGGUGGGGUGGGGGAGAUGCUGCUGGCUUCUAGUGGGAAUAAGUCAGGGAUGCUGCUGCACAUACCAUCAUCCCAGACCAGCCUGAAUGGGCCCCUACAACAGUUACUCAGCCCCUAUGUCAACAGCACUGAGGUUAAGAAAUCCUGCUCUGAAAUAUGGGCAUGAGAGUUCCUGUUGUGGCUCAGCGGGUUAUGAACUUGACUAAUAUCCAUGAGGUUGCAGGUUCAAUCCCUGGCCUCACUCAGUGAGUUAAAGAUCUGAUGUUGCUGUGGCUGUGGCGUAGGCUGGCAGCUGCAGCUCCCAUUCCACCUCUAGCCUGGGAACUUCCAUAUGCUGCAGGUGUGGCUUUAAAAGGAAAAUAUAGACUCCUUAUCUUGGUCUGCAAGGCCCUGCAGGACCUGGGCCCUCCCACCCCUCUGACCUUACAGCUUCCUUCUCCCCUCCUCAUUUUACUCCAGUUUCUCUUGCCUUCCCUCUGAUCCUGUUUCAGACCCCACAGCCUUCAUCCUUGCUCUCCCUUUUUCCUUAAAUACUUUUCUUCCUGCUCUUCCAGUUUAAAUGUCACCUGCCCAGAGACAGCUUGCUGGUCACACAGUCCAUAUCCCAUCCCCACAACCACCUCACACCUCUGUCCUCAAACUACAUAGCUGUCAUUCUUCCAUGGCCAUGACUGUGAUUUACCACCAGGUCAUGUGCUGGUUACCUUGAGAGGGAGGGAUCUGUCUUCCUCCUGAAAUGCGAGGACAUGGGGACAAGCUCUGUGACCAUUUUGCUUAUUUCUGUCUCACCAGCACCUAGCAGAACAGCUGCAUGUGCGCAAGGUCAAAAAUAACUUUUGAAUGAAUGCAUAAAAGAAUCAUGGGUGGAAAGAGUGGAGUCUCUGUAGUCAGUAUCCCUGAAUGGAAUUCUGAUUCCAAGGCCACCUGUGCGUCACCUUUACUCUCCAAGGGGAUGAAAGUCCCCUUAUCUGUGAAAUGGGGGUAAGAUACCCCCAGCCCCAGGAUACUAUGCAGAGGAAAGGGAAUGUGUUAGCAGAGCACAGCACAGGCCCCUUUUAGCCAUGUGUUGACCAUAGAUGCUUGAAUAAAAGGAGGACAGUUCCCCUGUGUGCUGUUGUUUUGAGGGUGAACUCCUGAGGAGGAGGGAGAUGGAGUUGGGAUGCAAGAAAGGCACCUUCGAUGAAGAGUGGAGAACGUGUAUAGGUGAUCGGAGCCCUGGUUACCCAGGGAGCCUCUGCAUCUCCCUCUCUUGACAAUCCUUUCCCUCCUCCAUCCUCCAAGACCAUGAUCCCAGCUCCCUCCUGCCCAAAUCAUGGUCCCAGGCUGAUGCCUGGCCUCCCUGCCACCUGUCCCUCAGCUGCAGGAUCCAGGAAGGAUGCAGCCAUUGUUAGGAUCCCUGUUAUGAGAGUCACAGUCCACCCCUACUCUGUCUCUAUCUGUGUCCAUCUAGACCAUGCAGGAAAUGAAAGUGGGUAGCAGAGCGUCUGCAAUAAAUAGCUCAGACCCCAGGCGUGAGUGUCUGCAAAAAGGAAUGUGACCUGGGGCCUCUUUCUUUCAAGUAUAGCCUCAUAUCAGAUUGAGGGCCACAAAGGAACUUGGAUUGUUUCUACCUCUGGAUGUGUGAAGAGUGAGGACCACAGGCAGGUCCCAGAGAAGGCGGCAGACUAGGGGAGAGGUGGAUGCAGGAGCUCCAUCUGCUAGGAGAGGCAGAAGGGCUCCCCCAUGGCCUCUGGGGGCCACCUAACCUCCCUGAUUCCCUCGUCUAUAAAAUGGAGAUGAUGGCAGGCCCUGCCAGCUUAGUUUACUGUGAAAGUUAAGUGGGUUAAAGUACGUAAGGCACCACUUGAGGGUGGGCUGACCCAGGUGACUUGCUUCCAAAGAACAGGCAUGCAGAGGAGUUAUAGGUAACUUUCUAAUGGAGACCUGGCAAAUCCUGCCCCAAACCAGGUGACCAAGGUUAAUGUCACCGAUGACACCUUGAUCAUGGACUUCUAGCUUCCAGAACUGCAAGAUAAUAAUUUCCAUUGUCUUAUGUCACCCAGAUAACACAGGACCAAAAGCAGGGAUCAGGGUACAAGGGCAAAUGUCUUUGGCUUCUCCAGCUUCCAUUUCUCUGCUUUCUGCCUCUUCAUGGCCUUUAAGGCCCUCCCUUGCUGAAUGCAGAUUCAGCUGCUCAUCACUCAGGAAUUCAAUACUGAGAGCCAAGUGUUGGGUAAAAGGAAAGACAGCUUUGCUGUGGAAACUGGAAAUCCUGGGGAGAAGGCAGAGGACCAUGGGGGGUGGGUGGGGCUGGUUUCUGUCCUGGGAGGGCCUCAUAGCAUCCUGCUAUGACACUCUGAGGGUUACCCACCAUGGCCUUGCCAGGCCCCUGACUUGCCCUCUGUGCCCCACCCUUGGAGACCUCACUGGGCUUCAGGCUCCCUCCUUCCCUCCCAGCUGCCUUUGUAUAUGCAGUGGGAUUGGGUGGGGUUGAACAUAGUAAAGUAUCUUCUCUUUCUCAUAAUAAGCUGCUGGGCUGAAGUUGGGAGGCAGCACUUGGGCCCUAUUUUUUGAUAGUUUUGUUAAGGCUGUAGAGAUCUGAGCACUUCUUGAUUUUAAUGAUGACUUCAAGCACAAAUCUCCCAGGCAGCAGAAAAACCCUCAUGCACCAUCCACUUACUCCAGAUUUGUAAGCUGAGGGGGGUGGGCUUUCCAGGGCACCAGAUGAUCUUUGUGCAGUGCCAGCUUGCCCCAUCAGGCCUCCCAGCAUUCACUUGGUUGCUCCUUCUGCCUGCAAUGACCUAAGGACUGCUGAAAUAUCCUGUUGCCAGCUACUAUCAGAAAUUUCUGGAGUUCCCAUCAUGGCGCAGCAGAAACGAAUCCGACUAGGAACCAUGAAGUUGUGGGUUUGAUCCCUGGCCUCACUCAGUGGGCAUUGCCAUGAGCUGUGGUGCAGGUCACAGACUUGGCUCGGAUCCCACAUUACCGUGGCUGUGGUGUAGGCCAGCAGCAACAGCUCUGAUUAGAUCCCUACCCUGGGAACCUCCACAUGCUGCGGGUAUGGCCCUAAAAAGACAAAAGACAAACAAACAAACAAACAAAUUCCCCUUCUUAUAUAGUCUUGGAUCCACAGAGGGAGGACCUGGAAUUAGGCUGCUUGGGUUCAAAUCCUGGGACCAAGACUAAUUGUGUGACCCCAGACAAGUUACUUAACUUCUCUGUGUCUCCGUUUCAUCUGAGAAGACUUUAUUAUCUGCAAAAUAAAAUAAUAAUAGCACCUAUCCCUGAGGUUGUUGUAGGGAUUCAGCGAGAAAAUGCCAACAGCAGAUUUGUGCCUGAUGCUAACAAAGAUUAGCUCUGUCAUCCAGGGCACGAGUUUCAAUAUCUUUGUGCUUCAUCCUAUGCUCUUACUUAGAACUUAAUUUCUUUAGAUCCAACCGAAUCUUUUUCACACAACUAAUUUAUCUACUGCUGAGUAAUUUGUUAUCAGAGAUGGUGUGUUGCAGACAGAACAAAGAUUAAGAUGCUGUGAGCUGGACACAUCUGGAAGACACACAUUUCCAGUAUGAGGAAACAGGAUACUGUGUGGAGAGAAAUCAUUUAUGGGUCAAAAGGAGCCUGGGCUGAAUUAAACCUCUUGACUUCACUACCAAUUAAAACAUUACAAUAGCAGCACAAGUUACAUAUAGCCUGCAACCUUGUCACAGUGAGCCUUCAUGCUGGAAACUGACUGCAAGUCCCCCUUUAAAAGUAAGAACAUGCCUGGGUGGCCAUGCUCACAGGGAAAUAAUUGCUGUGUUUCCAAAGGCCGCCUCUCUCUCCUUUUAUUUAAGGUACCUGGUGGAUUUAACAGGCAAUUAAAAUCCAAUAGUAGAAGGAAAGGAAGAAGGUAAUCACUCUCCCACCCAGCCUCACCCCCUUGGGACCCAACAAGGGUGGAGGGAUGAGCUGGAGCUCAAAGCUCUGCAAAAUAUGCAGUGUCACAACACAGACUGUAGUUAGGCCUGCUCUAUGCAGGCGAGAAAACUGGCGCUGAGGGGAACUUCUAUACCCGCAGGAGAUGCGUGCACAGCACUUCUCAGCUUGCAAGCCAUUUCCACACUCCUUAUCUCAAACAUUCAGGCAUCCAAUUGGGUGCGAACACAUAGGCUCCGCAGACUCCGAGGUUCUCAGUGUAACUAGAGGGCUGCAGCUGAGCCCAGCCUAGUCUUGGAGGAAAUCCUAGAGUCCUGCCCUCCCCCUUCUUCCUGGACAAACCCAGGUCCAUAUGCGAGACAUAGUGGCCUGAGAUCUGGCUUAGAAGAUGACAUCCCAAAAGGAGAGCAUGGUCUGAUGAAAUCAGAAGGGCGGUGGCCUCAAUUUUUGAACUUGGCAGAGGAAGGCAAUUCCAGAUAGGGCCAGAAAUUUGGGAAGCAUAAAAGGAAGGAGGAUUUGAGGAACAGAAUUACAUGAGAAAUGGCUGGUGUGCCAGGAGGGUGUUCAAUCCAAGAUGAAGCUUUCUGUACUUCUGAAGAACUGGAUGUGUGCAAAGGCUGGGGAAUUCAGGAGACUCCCUGGUUUAUUCCUGGUUAUUUAUUUAUGUUUAUUUAUUUAUUUAGUUAGUUAGUUAUUUUGCUUUUCAGGGCCGUACCCGAGGCAUAUGGAAGUUCCCAGGCUAGGGGUCAAAUCAGAGCUAUAGCCACCUUUUUAUGCCACAGCCAUAACAACUCAGGACCCAAGCCACAUCUAUGACCUACAUCACAGCUCAUGGCAAUGCUGGAUCCUUUACCCACUGAGCAAGGCCAAGGAUUGAACCUCCAUUGUCAUGCAUACUAGUCAGAUUCAUUUCCACUGAGCCACAAGGGAACUCCCUAUUUCUGGAAUUUAAAUGGCUUGGGAGGUCAUUUAAAUCAGCUGUCCACCACUCUCAUGUAAAAUUCUGAUGAGGGUAAUGUGCAGACUUGCCUGAUGACAUGGGGAUGAUAGCAGGGACACUGAACAGGCAUUAUAUAGAGAAAGCUAAACUCUCAAGGUCUUCUGGGGCAUCCAUAAACAACUAUAAGUUCUUUCUAGCAGUCCAAGGUCAGAAUAUUGGCCUCACUAUCAGUGGCCAGUUAGGUAAGGAAACUGAAGUUCAGGUUUCCAAUCUAUCUGUGGCUUUUCCUUCUGCCCUCUUCCUCCAUCUUCCUUCUCCCCUAACUCCCUUACCCUAUCUCCCCUCCCCCUACCCCAUCUCCCCUCUCCCU
rnacentral:lncRNA from 1 species